rnacentral:rRNA from 1 species
CAGCAGCCGCGGUAAAACGAAGGGUGCAAGCGUUACUCGGAAUUACUGGGCGUAAAGCGUGCGUAGGUGGUGGUUUAAGUCCGUUGUGAAAGCCCUGGGCUCAACCUGGGAAUUGCAGUGGAUACUGGGUCACUAGAGUGUGGUAGAGGAUGGUGGAAUUCCCGGUGUAGCGGUGAAAUGCGUAGAGAUCGGGAGGAACAUCAGUGGCGAAGGCGGCCAUCUGGGACAACACUGACGCUGAGGCACGAAAGCGUGGGGAGCAAACAGGAUUAGAUACCCCCGUAGUCCCUGUCUCUUAUAC